rnacentral:lncRNA from 1 species
AAACACGGAAUGUUGCAUGCGAAAGAAAUUUAUAAACAAAUACGCGUAACAUGAUUUACAAAAAGUCCCUGAAAAUGUGAAGCUGACUGGGAAACUCUCAAGCUGGACCAGGCUUGGAAGAUUUGGAAGAGCAACCAAAACACUAUGUGAUCCUCAGUCUUAGAUCCAGCGCCCACCUUCCCAGGGUCCAACCAAAUCACCCAUCUACUCUGCACUCCGCCGACACCUCACCUACGUAACAAGCAGGUAAAUACUUUGAAGAGGUGUGGUAUAAAUCAAGUAGCCACAAAAAACACAACGUGAUCAAGUCAGAGGUGGCCAAGGUCAUUAUAAAUAUUUGGAAGAAAAGAAGUAUUUAAUCGCUCUGCCCUUUUGCUGUAUUACGGUGUCUCUGUUUAAAGAAGACAACUGUAAACAAUAGCCAAUGGUUUAUAAAUAUGAAGUGCGG